AAAUUAUACUUCAAUAUAUAGUUUGAAGGCAUUCCCCUUGUUUACAGUAUGAUAUAGACUCCUGUGCUAGUACUGGCAACUUAUGCUGUUCUCUAUGCUGAGAAAUUAUUCUGAGUUUAUGAAAAUGAUAUAUUUACCAUUUCUGUGAAAUUGUAGUAAAUGCUAUUCUAUUUAAAAGUCUAUGAUAAAAGUGUCAAUAUUUAAAAAUUUUUAAAUGUGUUUUACAGUAUUGAGAGUUUUUCCUUUUAUCUUUGAUUUUGAUUUUUUAAGAUCUUGAAUUUUCAGGUUACUAAUUUAAAAUGAGACUAUGAAAUCUUGUAUGUUGAGAAUAGAAAAUGAAUUUAUACUCUAAUCUGAGUAUGUGGGCAUGAGUAUUUGGAAAGAACAAAAGAUUGAGACAACAAUUUAGGAAAGAAGACUUAUAGAAAGGCUAACUUUUCAGUUACUUUUCUUUCUAUUCCUUCUACCCCUGAUGCUUAUUCCAUUUACUUUUUUUUUAUGAUUUUUUUAACAUUAUUUUAUUUGGUCGUUUUCAUACAUUAUUCACUGGAAACAAAGAUCAUUUUCUUUUCCUCCCCUCCCCCCCUUUCCCUCUCCCAUAGCCGACGCAUGAUUCCACUGGUUAUCACAUGUGUUCUUGACUCGAACCCAUUUCCCUGUUGUUGGAAUUUGCAUUAUAGUGUUCAUUUAGAGUCUCUCCUCAGUCUUAUCUCCUCCAACCCUGUAGUCAAGCAGUUGCUUUUCAUCGGUGUUUUUACUCCCACAGUUUAAAUGGGAAGAACAUAUAAGACAAAGGAGAAAAACCCUAAGCAAUUUAUUCCUUAUUAUCUUUAAAAUGUUUUAAGUAAUCAUGAACUUGGGCAGUUAGUUGGUGCAUUGUUUAGAGAUGUGGAGUAAGGAAGACUUGAGGCCUUAAAUAAUACACAAGUAAUUUAACCCGCUACCUCAAUUUCUUUAUCUAUGAAAUGGGGAUAAAAGUACCUACUUUUUCAAUAUUGUUUCAAAGAUUAAAUAAGAAAAUAUUUGUAAAACAUUUUGCAAACUUUAAAGUGUUAUGUAAAUAUUACUUAUUGUUAUUAAUUUCAAACAAAAACAAAAGGCAAACCUAACACUUGCAGCUAAUUAAACUUUAAAAGACUUUUAAUAUAUUUAAUUCAACAAGCAUUUAAGUGUCUAACUCUAUUCCAGGGAUUGUGUUAGGUGCCAGAGCUACAAAAAUAAUACAACUAAUUUCUUCCCUCAAGGAAUUUACAUUCCACUGGCAUGAUAGAACAGAAUCAGAGGAUCAUAAAUUUGGAGCUGGAGAGACUUUGGAGGUCACUUGUCUAGUCCUUUCAUUUUAGAGAUGAACUUGAUAGAAACAGAUAGGUAAAUUCAAGAUAAGUUGAGGAAGGGAUCAAGAAAGAAACUCCAUAGGGGAGGGCACCUGAACUGAACUUUCAAAGGAGUGGUAUAUAAAGCAAUCAUUUAAGUAUUUGUCAGUUUCCUGUUAUGUUUCCAGCAUUUAGGGAUUCUAGGAAUAGGAAGACAAAAUUGAAACUGUCUUUGUCCUUAAGGAGAUUGUGUUCUUACUAUAAAUGAGAAGCAACACAUAUAUGCAAAGUAGACAAAAAAUAAAUACAAGAUAAUUUAGGUGGAAGACACCAGAAGUUGUAGGAAUCAAGCCCCAGGUAGGAGGUAUUCUUUGAGCUGAACAUUGAAGAAAACUAGAGAUGAAAAGAACUGGAAGUGACAAGGGAGUACCUUCUAAUGAUGGACUGUUUAAUGGACAGUGUAAUCAUGUGUGAGAAACAGCAUGACUAGUUUGAAUUGAGAAGUACAAAAAAAGGAAUGAUAGAAGGUUGGAUGAGUAGGAUAAAGUCAGGUUAUGAAAGAUUUUUUAUUUGAUUCUAUAAGUAAUUGGGAAUCACUAAUCUUUAUUGAGCAGAGCAAUCCUCAGAGAGAAUAAGCAUAUAUAGUACCUUCUAUCUACUGCAAGGUGGAUGUUAUUAUUAUACCCAUUUUGCAGUCGAGGAAACAAGUUGAAGUGACUUGUCCUGGGGUCACACAUCUAGUAACCAUUAGCUAGAUUUGUUCUGAAUCCAGAUCCAGUGGUCUAUAUGCCAAACCUUUUUGGCAUCUAUGUGAAGGAAAGGGAAGAAAUGAGACAGGGAGGUCAGGUAAGAGGCUACUGCAAUAUCCCAAGGAGAAGUUAUGAAUUUCCAAACUAGGGAAAUAACUAUGACUAGACAAAAGGGUAUCGUUAGAUGGAAUUGUGGAGAUAGCAACAAGGGGCAUCCUUCAGUCUAGGGUGAGGAAGAAUGGGAAUGGAGACUCCUCAUUUCCUGCUGGACUGCUAUCCUGGACUUUGUCUCCAGAAAUUCAUUAGUUUGCAAUAUGAAAUACUUCCUCAGAUCAUUUCUCAGCUCAACUACUGAACUUCGUUAUGCCUGCUUGCCUGUUAACCUCUUCCUCAUCUCCAGCCCCCUUCAGCUUCUUUUUAAUGUGUUAUCUUUCCUGUAAGACUUUGACUGCCUUGAGGGCAGAGACUAUAUUAUACCUUUCUGGAUAGCCCAGUGCUUUACCUACAAGACUGUAGUCUUUGUGACUCUGAAUGACUGUGAAGGUGCAAGCCAGGAUGACUGGAAGGAUGUAGAUGACCUCAACAGAGAGAGAGGGGAGUUCAGAAGAGAAGUGGAUUUGUGGAAAAGAUAAAUUCGAUUUUGGACAGAAAUAAGUUCGAAGUGUCUGGGACAUUCAUUUCAAAUUGGUCAAUGAUGCAGGAAGGGGGUCUCAGAAAUAGAGUUAAGUAUGGAGUGCAUUCCUCUCUCUCUCUCUCUCUCUCUCUCUCUCUCUCUCUCCCCCUCUCCCUCCCUCUUUCUCCCUCUCUCUCUUUCCCUCUCCCUAGAACAACAAGUAGAUAUCUGUUGCAAACUAAUGGCUCUUUCCUUUUCUGUUCCUACCCUUUGUACUGGCUCCUGGCUGACCCUGAUUCCUGGAAUGCACUAUUCUCCCUACUGCCUCUGGGGAGAGAAAUCUCCACCCAAAGGAUACCUUUUUUGAUCCUCUCAGCUGCUAGUACCCUGCCAAUUACUUUGUAUAUAUUUUGUAUUUUUCUUUGUUUCAUGGGUUACAAUGAUAAAGUUAUAUCAAGCUUUGAAACAUUGCAGAGCCCAGUGGUAUUUGUAACCACUUAAAAAUGUGACCUGACUACGUAAAAGGAGCAUUAUAUAAUGUUUACUAUGUGCCAGGUCCUGUGCUAAAUGCUUUACAAAUAUUAUCUCAUUUAAUUCUCACAAUAGCCCUAGGAGUUAGGUGCUAUUACUAUCUCCAUUUUGCAGAUGAGGAAAUUGAGGCUGAGAGGGGUUAAGUGAUUUGUUCAGAGUUGAAGUUUCAGAGCUACUUUUGAACUCAAAAAAUUUGCCCCCUGGGCUGCCUCUGAAAGACUAAGCCAAUUAAGAACAUGUUUAACCUAUAUUAUGACCUGGUUGAACAAAACUAUAGAACUUAUUUAUUGAUAUAUCUGUUGGGGAUAAAACAGGACAAGUGGAGAAUAAAUUGGGCUCAGAAAUUAAAAGGAAUAGAUGAACAGUAUGAAUUGUCUCCAGGAAAUUGCAAAGCUCUUUUAAUGGCUUCAAACUUCUGGGAAAAACAGGUGAUUGACCUGUCACUUUGAAGAUAUAAAUAACUCAGAGGAGAAAUGCUGACCUCUUAAAUGAAAGGGAAGACUACCACCAAGUAGAUGGUGAAAAAUCCAGUUCUAAUUCUCCUGGAGAAGUAUCCUAGCGAAGAUUAAUAUAUGGAAAAGGGCCAAGAAAAGUACUGAAUUUCACACUUCCAUCCCAGCCGUUAUUUGUUGACAAGAAGUGGAAAUUGUUUUUGUCCCAUCUUCCUGUAUUCUUUCCACAAUCUUCCAGUUCUCUCCUGAUUGUGCUAAGUUCCUCUAAUUCAGGGGUCAAGAAUGACAGGCUGUAAUAACCCGCAAAGUCACUUUCCAGUAUGUCAAUCAGACUUUUCUGCCCUAUUGGUGCAAAAAGAAGACCUGAGUAUUCCUGAAAUUCUUACCGGAUGCACUCUCUCACUCCUCUGAAUUACAAGUACAGGGAUAGAAGUUUAAAUUCACCUUAGCUGAAAUUGAAAUAUCCAGGAAACUUUAGGAUGUAUUACCCUCCAUCAUUCCAAACUUUGGUCUCAGCAAAUAAUGCACAAAAUCAAUUGCCACAUUGAGUUAGUAUUUUAAUUUGAUUUUGGCACAAAAUAAAAUAAAGUUCAGUUUUUAAAUCA